rnacentral:lncRNA from 1 species
CUGGGGCUGAGAAUGGAGGCUUCCUUAAUUCACACCAAACAGGGUCUGAUCAGGGAGGAGUGUAGUGAGGAAGUUGAAACUUGAUGUUGGCUACUCUUUUCUCUGUAAGAAGAUGAAGAAGAGCUUGGGAGAGCACAUCUGGCCAAGUAAGGAGUACAGGUUGCCAAGUAGGGACACAUUUUCUAGAGCCGUUUCUGUCUUCUAGCACAAACAUCAGGGUUAUGUUGCAUACAUUAUACUUCCUUGUCUUCUCUGAAUAUGUCUACAAAUGUGUGUUCUUGUGAAAAUAGAUUGGUUCUGAGGCUUUGUCAUAGCUAGGGAGACUUCCAGAGAAGCUCAGCUUCCUAAGGGACCCACAUGAUUAUUCUCUCAUUUUCGUUUUCAGCCGUGACCAGCAUCAUCAAUGAAAUGUGUGUCUGUGGAGGUCUGGCUGACUAUUCUGAAAAACCACCACCCAAAUGAAUCUCAUUUUAAUGGAGACCCUGCAUCAAGUUACGUAAUGGCCUGUCCAUCACCGACUGGAUCUCUCACAUUUUCUCAGAUGUUAAUAGAAUAUUCUGUAAAACAGAAGCAGAACCUCAGGAGAUAAAAAAGAAGGCUACAGUGGAGAAAUUUAAGAACAUGUCUUUCCCCCACCAGGCAAUAAGAUGUGCUACUGGCAGAGCUGUGAAGAUUAAAUGGAAUGAAUUUACAUAUGCAAAAGCACACAGACAGGGUUCUAAGCAAAGGUGAGUAGCCUUCUGUAAUUUAUUGAAUGCUAGUACAUGCAGCAAACUAGACCAGCCUCUUUAAGGGUCCUUCUUCUGAGGAAACUUAAAAUCUAACUGAGGAAUCAUACAGACACACAGAAGAUAUGUAAUUACAUAUCAAUUUACAUUUUCAGAAAACUCACUUAGGACUUUGCAAAUUUUUAUCACCAUUUGAAAUUUAUCUUGUAAUUUGAUCCUGGUGCUUACUCACAAUUUAAUUUUAGGUGGCCCCUUUUACACCUUCCCUCUGCCUUCUGCACUUGGCCCCCUUGACAUCAAAGUUAUACUAAUGGAAAAACUGCACCUCCCCACCUUGCAGCAUGUUAACAGUCACUACUGCAGUUGCAUGGUGUGCAAGGAGUAGAUCUGGACAGGAAUCUGUCUUCCAGACCUUUUGUUCUCUGUCUGCACCUGCUGAUUUGCAUCUUAGUUACCCAGGAUAGACCAGUUUUUUUGCUUAGCCAUGAAAGUUUCAAAGGAAGAGGGGAAGUAAUAUUAACCAAUCAUGGAAAUAGGGGUCAGAGUUGUUGCCAUCCCCCGCUGCAUGCGGGCUAGUUGACUUUUUGUGAUCUUUCUUUAGAUGCUAUCUUGUUCACAUAGUUUGUUUGUUAGAUGAUUGAAGGGGAAGCUAGGGGAGAGAUCUGAUCGCUUUUAAUAAUUUUUCAUUUUCUAUUUUUUGAUCUACAGAAAGAAUCAAGGGGUUAGGCAAGGUAAUGUGUAAUCAAAAGAUUUGAAAAGUGUGCUUGAGCUGGAGAUGAGUAGAGCAGGGGGUACCUGGUUUAAGUUUAGUUACAGUAUAGCUAUGCUGAAGUGACAAGGCAGAAGGAGUUUCCUGCUGAGGGCAGUUUUCUGCUUAUAGGAUCAGUGAAAUAAAACAUUCUCAGGGUGCUGGACA